GUGGGCAACACUUGCCCCUGGACAG
rnacentral:piRNA from 1 species